rnacentral:misc_RNA from 1 species
UCCGAGUUGUCCCCGGCAGUCCUCUUAGAGUCCCCGGCAUUACCCGCUGGCAACUAAGAGCAGGGGUUGCGCUCGUUGCGGCACUUAAGCCAACACCUCACGGCACGAGCUGACGACAGCCAUGCAGCACCUGUGCUAGCCCCUUACGGACACGGGCUUUCACCCGCUUUAACUAGCAUGUCAAGUCUAGGUAAGGUGGGGAUGACGUCAGGAUAG